AUUCAUCCUCUUCACACACACUACACAAACCUCUUUCAUUCUCCCCUCCUUCUGCAACCCUUUCUCGAUCUCCUCCAUCUCCUCAACAGCGCGCGCCGGCGCGGCGAUCCUCAUCGCACGGCCACGGCAGGCAUAAGUAGGCAUACUCUCUCCAUAUAUACAUACCAUGGCGCCUCCCGGCUACGAUCUCAUCCUGCUCGUUGAUUCUGACGGCGGGGUCUGGAUUGUUUGCAUUCAGGACGAGACCACGCAAUAGCAUGCAGCAGCAUGGAAAACUUUCUAUACGGCGCUGCUACAUGUACGGCAAGGUUGCAUCCAACACCAUAUGUGUUCUGGCAGCAGCAUCGUGGCGAAUGUCUGCCGUCGUUGUCCUCCUCUUUGGUCGCCGUCGUUGCUGCCACGACCAUACAUCUCUUUGAUGACUGCAUCACCUACCCUAUCUGUCGGCAAUGAUCCGAGGUUCAUGAGGACAGUUCUGGUGAUGGUGUGUAUCUUCUAUCAUGCAUGUUAAAACUGGUGGCAAUAAUUUGACUUGUAUAAUAUGAACGGGUUGCUUGUUUAUCUGUAUUCUGUACUCCGUUUGCGACAUAUGAACUGCUUGUGAAGCCAUCAGUUUGUGAAGUCGUCUGUGCUCUGAGAGUGUGUAUAUGCGAAGAAUACGAUACAUAUAUUUUCCACAUUCAUUUCAGUUUUCUACCCA